rnacentral:lncRNA from 1 species
GUGGCUCAGAUGGCUUCUUGCCUCCUGGGUGCCCUUGCCUCUUUCCUUGCCAUGGCCUUGAGGCUUUUCCUCAGCUGGCUGGCUGAUCCGUCCCCGGCGGCUGCCCUUUCCUCCUGCCAGGCACGGAUGCAGCAUACCCCAAUCCCGCUGCCAUUCAGGGUGAUGACGGAGGGUGGAGAACAUGUCAGCAUAGGUGGCUUCCUCCUAUUUUCCCUCCCCCUGCAAAAACAACCUGAACUGCAGAAGAGUAUUGUAAUUCAAAGUGCCAUUGACAGGCCAUUUUUCACCACUUCCCAACUUGUUUAACAACCCCCACUGAUUACAAUACUUGAUUAAAGUUUUCUUGCUCCUUUCUCAAAAACAUUCUCUGUGGUAUCGCCCCACACAGC